CUUCUUGAUCCUAGCUGUCAAUCAUACAAGCCCCCACCUUUAUCUUCAUCCUACGUGUCAACCCAAGGAUGUAUAUAUCCUAAACAAGAACGGUCAAAGCUAAGCAGCAUUCUUCCCAGCUUGAUUGAAUCUAUAUGAAGUAAAAUUAGCGGUCAAUUGGCUUCCAAAAGAUUCAAAUUUUGAAUCCCAUCAAUUUCUUCAAGCAAGCAAACGGUGAGAUCACUUUUAGGGUUUCUUGCUUCAUCUCCUCUUUCCCAUUGCCAUUUCCUCUUUCCCAUUGUCGAUGCUUAUCCUUAUCUUUUUACUUCUCUGAAAAUUGAAGCCCUAAUCAACGUUGUUGCUUCUCCCCUUAUAUUUUACUUUCUCCCCACAUUACUGGACUCACAAUUCCAUUCAAAUUUUGAAUUUUAAAAUGUCUGCAAAGAGACUAGCUGAGAGAUAGAGAGGGAAUCUAAAAGGGAGAGAACGAGAAAGAGAGAGAGAGAAAUUGGAUGGUUCUAACGAACGGAUCUACUUUGUAUGCCUGAAAAUCGGUGACCCUUGGUGGCAACAGUGAUGCAGUAGCUAUCGUAGCAGACGGAAUCAAGACCAGAUGGCAACGGUUUUGGGUUUCUAGGGUUCUGUCCAUGCCGACGCCAUAGAAGGGCCCGAUAAUGACUAGGGGUUGAUUCGAAGGCUAAUUGUUCUGUGAACUUGAUGAUUUGAUGCAUUUAUUUUGUUUAAAAGUGUUAAUUAUUAAAUGUCGAGGUGUUCUGUUUGCAAAGUAACAAGGGACCAAAAUCAUUGCAGAUUGUUCACCACUUAUGGCUGCCCUGAAGUGGCUAGAAAGUUCAAAGACUACAUAAAACAACCCAGCUGUAACAUGAGCUAUUUCAUUUAAAGAUGGAAAUUGAGCUUAAAAACUAAGAAUGGCAAUUUUACAUAAGUUCAAAAUGCUCCGGAGGUCGCCCACAGUCGAGGAAUAAGAGGUUAAUAAAAAUACACUUACAUAUAGAUAGCACUUGUGAAGAAUCUUUUAAUCUGCAAAAGUGUUAAUGUGUCCUUUUAAACCGUUCUUUACUUAUUUUCCUAAUAAGAAGAUGAUGAUAAUUGAAAAAA